GAUUAGUGGACACUAGUUAAUUAAGGAACCCGCGUGAUGCGGCGGGUAGACAUUAUUAUUAUAAUCAAUCACUACGGCGUGUAGAUUAAUGCGGAUUUUAGUAUUAUAAUUUAUAUUAGAAAAAUAAUCAAUAAUAUAUAAUUAUCGAAGAACACAAAUUCACUUAUCAUAUGUAGCUACCAUAAAUUAUGUGCAUUAAUAUUUUUAAAUAUUAUUGACCGUCCCUAGAGCAAGUGGCAAAGGGCUUGGUGGUUGGUACCCGAGACCCAAGUUCGAAUCCUAGUUGAUUCACAUUUCUAGCUAAGUUUAUUUCUAAAUAAAAUAAACGAAGCGGGUAGCGUGCUACCUAUCUCUCAAAAAAAAAAAUUUUAAUAUUAUUUAUCUCAGUAUUGAAAAAAAUUAAAGAAUGAAACUAACGUAUAUUUCUUUUUAAAAAUAUCUAAACCAAAUAAUUAAAAUGAAUAAAUCAAUUGAAAAUAAAAUAAAAGCUCAUUUUAAUAUUAAAAAAGAUGAGUAAUAUUUUUUUAUUAUCAUCGGCAUAGAAUUUACAAAUAAAAAAAUAUUAAAAAAUUAAUUGGAGUAAUAAAAGCACUAUGUUUGAUAGCCUUUACAGGUUAAAAAAGUAAUAAAUUAACUUGAUAGCUCAAAGUUAAUUGUUCUAGUUUGUCUAAAUUUAAAUUCAAAUGUAAACGUAAUUGCAAUAAAAUCAAGAGGUUGGAAUCUUGAUCUAAAAAAAAAGCAAAAUUUUAGGAACCAAAAUAAAAAAAUUGUGAAAAUGUUGGGAACCAAUGGUGCAAUUAACCCUUAAUAAAAGUAAAAAAUGCAUGUGGCCCCACAACCUCCGCAAAAUAAAAGGAGGCCUUUUUUAGGUUCCCCUUUCAUGUAUUUUUAUUAUAGAUUAAAAAAUUAAUUGGAGUAAUAAAAGCACUAUGUUUGAUAGCCUUUACGGUUUAAAAAGAUAAUAAAUUAACUUGAUAGCUCAAAGUUAGAUGUUCUAAUUUGUCUAAAUUUAAAUUCAAGUAUAAACGUAAUCGCAAUAAUAUCAAGAGAUUGGAAUCUUGAUUGCAAAAAAAAGCAAAAUGUUAGGGAUCAAAGUAAAAAAAUUGUAAAAAUGUUGGGGACCAAUGGUGCAAUUAACCCUUAAUAAAAGUAAAAAAUGCAUGUGGGCCCCACAACCUCCUCAAAAAAGGGGAGGCCUUCUUUGGGUCCCAUUUCAUGUAAUUUUAUAAAUUAUAGAUUAUAGAUUUAUAAAUUUAUAGAUGAGUUUAUAGGAUAAUAAAAAGGUGUAAGUAAAAAGAGUAAAAUGGGAAAGUGUAAAAGUAAAAUGACAAAAAAUAUAUGAAAGUGCCAAAAAGCCCGUGAAAAGUGUAAUAUGUGAAAAUAGGAUUUUUUUUUUGCAUUUAGCCUUAUCAAUUAUUUUUUUUUACAAAUAGUUUUAACAAAUUUAUAUUUAUAUAAAUAACUCUCUUCUCGCCAUACAAGGGCUUAGAUAGCGUUUUUUACUUGAACACAUUGAUUGAAUCACCAUAUUUCUUUUUAUAUUUUUUAUUGCUCCUAAGUUAAAAAAAAAGAAAUAGAAUAUGGAUAUGAAUACGAUAAUUCAAUCACUGCAUUCAACUUAAAAAUGCUAAUGUGGUGCUCGUGUGGCAAGGAAAGGGUCAUAUAUGCGAAUAUAAAUUUGCUAGGGUUAUUUGUAAAUUUUUUUUUUUUUUUUGAGGAGGCUAAAUGGAAAAAAAAAGUUCGUGAAAAUACAAUGUUAAAUGGAAUGUUUAU
rnacentral:lncRNA from 1 species